rnacentral:misc_RNA from 1 species
AAUUUUUAAGGUAUGUAUUUUUUUU